GCUUCCAUUCUGCCAACUGUCUUGUUGGGUGAGCACAAUACACUUUUACUAAUUACUGCUUUGGUGAUUCAUCUGUUUCACUUCUGUUAUUUCUGAACUUUUGACAUUCCACAGGAUCAGAAGUGAGAUCCAAAGAAACCCGCCAAUGACUCAGGCUGAUAUAAAGAAUUAUUUUUUUCAUCUAUUUUAAUCAAUAACUUAGAACAAUUUGACGGUACGUAUUUGCAACAAAGGUUGAAACAUUUAUCUUUUGCUCCCUAUCUGACCCCUGCAGAAUUUGGAAACUCUUACUGAAUACUCUUGUUUUUCAUGACAAUGUAUUAAUUUGCAUAAGUUCAGUAAGAAUCUUUUCUCCUUGUAAAGGGACCAACUGGGUAAAUCCUAGGCUUGGCUUCCUACCUUCAAGAGGGUUUUGAAAGUCCAAUCUGAAAUUCCUUAUGAAAAAGUCCCAGCAAAACAGAUAUACUUGUUUUUAAUAUCUUAGUGUUUAUUUAUUUUUGAGAGAGAGAGCGCAAGCGGAGGAGGGGCAGAGAGAGGAGGGAGACACAGAAUCUGAAGCAGGCUCCAGGCUCUGAGCUGUCAGCACAGAGCCCCAUGCAAGGCUUAAACUCAUGAACUGUGAAAUCUUAACCUGAGCUGAAGUCGGACGCUUAACCAACUAAGCCACCCAGGCGCCCCAAAGCAGAUUUAAAACAGCCUAUACUUAACCAACUAAGCCACCCAGGCGCCCCAAAGCAGAUUUAAAACAGCCUAUAUGGUCAAUCACUAUUCUUGCUGCACCUCUAUAAAUAUCCAGGCCAAGUUUAUUAAAACGAGACUUAAUUUGCAAACAAAUUAGUCUUACUGUGGUUUCUUUUCAUAGAAAUGGGGAUGAUUAUAAAGAGAAAAAUUAUGUUUCAGUCAUGUACCUUUGUAGAUACCAGAUUCCUGUGUUGUUAAUUGUCUUUGAGAUUUUGUUUUCCACCUAUAAACUGGACUAGAUCCUGAAUUCUUCAAAGUUUUCUCCAACAUUUGGCUAGAACUCUCCAAACUAACAUUUUCCAUUUUCUCUCACUCUUUUGGCUUGCAAUCACUAUACAACUAAAACUGCCCUUUUCUGGAAGCCAUGCAACUAAAGCUGGAUAACUUGAUAUACACUUCAAAGAAAUCAGCACAACAGCUCAUGUGUGGACAAUCUCCAUGCCUACUGCUAUGCAGCCACUCAGAGCUCACCAGAGACAUUCACACUGCAAACCAGGAAUGUGUCAGAUUGCCGCUGCCUGCCUUCACUCCAUCUAAAGAUGCUUAGAACCCGACAUCUAGAAAUCUUCUCAACUGGCUGCUCUCCAAACUCAGAAACUGAAUUUAUAAUUUGCUUAAACUAUUAACCUUUGUUUUUCUUCUGUUUCCAUAGAAAUGCCUCUCAUUAAAUUACCUGAUUGCUCAUAUCAGAAUGACACCUAAAGCAGGUGAAAAUUCACCUGCAACACUGCCUCCUGAAAUAAAACAUCCUCAUAUUCA